rnacentral:rRNA from 1 species
UACGGAGGGGGUUAGCGUUGUUCGGAAUUACUGGGCGUAAAGCGCGCGUAGGCGGAUUAGUCAGUCAGAGGUGAAAUCCCAGGGCUCAACCCUGGAACUGCCUUUGAUACUGCUAGUCUUGAGUUCGAGAGAGGUAAGUGGAAUUCCGAGUGUAGAGGUGAAAUUCGUAGAUAUUCGGAGGAACACCAGUGGCGAAGGCGGCUUACUGGCUCGAUACUGACGCUGAGGUGCGAAAGUGUGGGGAGCAAACAGGAUUAGAUACCCGGCGUC